GUAGGGAAUAUUGCGCAAUGGGGGAAACCCUGACGCAGCGACGCCGCGUGAGUGAUGAAGGCCUUCGGGUCGUAAAGCUCUGUUGCAGGGGAAUAAAAAAAUGAAGGUACCCUGUGAGGAAGGAUCGGCUAACUUCGUGCCAGCAGCCGCGGUAAGACGAGGGAUCCUAGCGUUGCUCGGAAUCAUUGGGCGUAAAGAGGGCGUAGGUGGCUUGGUAAGUCAGGUGUGAAAGCCAAGGGCUCAACCCUGGAAGUGCAUUUGAUACUGCUGAGCUUGAGUGUCGGAGAGGUUACCGGAAUACCUGGUGUAGUGGUGAAAUACGUAGAUAUCAGGUGGAACACCGGAGGCGAAGGCGGGUAACUGGACGAACACUGACACUGAGGCCCGAAAGCGUGGGGAUCAAACAGGAUUAGAAACCCUAGUAGUCC
rnacentral:rRNA from 1 species